rnacentral:rRNA from 1 species
AGCCUUCAGCGAACCACCUGUUGAAGGUGGUGCCUGCCCAGUAACACCGUGUUUAACGGCCAUGGUAUCCUAGCUGUGUGAAGGUAGCACAGUCAAUUGUCCCAUAAAUCGAGACUUGUAUGAAUGGCUAAAUGAGGUCUUAACUGUCUCCUACAGAUAACCCAUGAAAUAGCUCCUCCUGUGCAAAAGCAGGAAUAAAUACAUAAGGUGAGAAGAUCCUGUGGAACUUAAAAAUCAGUGGCCACCACACAUAACCCUAAGCCUACCAGGCUUACCACCCCCAAAACACUGGCCCGCAUUUUUUGGUUUGGGUGACCUUGGAGAAAAACAGACCCUCCAAAAAUAGGACCACACCUCUUAACCGAGAGCAACCCCUCAACGUACUAAUAGUAACUAGACCCAAUAUAAUUGACCAGUGGACCAAGCCACCCCAGGGAUAACAGUGCCAUCUCCUCCAAGAGCCCAUAUUGACAAGAAGGUUUACGACCUCGAUGUUGGAUCAGGCCAUCCUAAUGGUGCAGCUGCUAUUAAGGGUUUGUUUAUUCAACGAUUAACACUCCU